UCCGGUUUGUCACCGGCAGUCCCAUUAGAGUGCCCAACUGAAUGUGGCAACUAAUGGCAAGGGUUGCGCUCGUUGCGGGACUUAACCCAACAUCUCACGACACGAGCUGACGACAACCAUGCACCACCUGUGCACGGCCCUUACGGACCCCACAUCUCUGCGGGAUUUCCGUGCAUGUCAAGCCUAGGUAAGGUUCUUCGCGUUGCAUCGAAUUAAGCAACAUGCUCCGCCGCUUGUGCGGGCCCCCGUCAAUUCCUUUGAGUUUUAGCCUUGCGGCCGUACUCCCCAGGCGGGUCACUUAAUGCGUUAGCUCCGGCACGGAAAGGGUUGAAGGCCUCCCCACACCUAGCACCCAACGUUUACGGCUGGGACUAC
rnacentral:misc_RNA from 1 species